ACCACAUGCUGCUCAGACCAAGUUGCCAUGACAACCACCAGGUACUGUCAGAAGGGCGGAGCUCAGAUGGACACCUCACGUCUCUCUUUGUAGCCUAAUGAGGAUACAAAAAUAAAAAAAGUGGAGACAACAAGAAGAGAGGCGGAGAAAGUGAUGAGCGAGAGGGAAGAAAACAGGACCUGUGUUUGGGCAGGAGUGUUCAUUUCAAGCUGGCAGUGAAAGCAUGGUCACUCAGGAGCACUGGAUGAUUACCCUCCAGAGGGUCUACUACCCAGUUCUGGCCACCAUUGGAAUACCCUCCAACAUCAUUACCUUCCUAAUCUUCUGGAGGAGGAACUGUAUGCUGUCCAGGUCCAGCACCUUCUACCUGAUGGCCAUGUCGGUGGCAGACACAGGUGUGCUGGUGUGCAUCGUGGUGCUGGAGCUGGUGGUCAAAUUCCACAGUGCGGAGCCUUUCUGGGCACGGCAACCCUGGUGCAGCCUCCGAGACCUCUUCACCUACGGCUCCUACAACGCCUCCACCUGGCUGGUGGUCACCUUCACAGCUGAACGCUUCCUUGCGAUCAACACCUGGAGCCUGAAGUCUCGCCUCUGCACGCCGCGCUGUGCAUUGUGGGCCAUCAGCAGCAUUUACGUGUUGAGUCACCUCCUGGCUGUGCCACACCUCUGGGCCAACGUGUCCGAGUACGACCGGCAGCUGGGGAGGUGGACCUGUGUGUACAACGCGCAGGCACCCAUCCUCUUCAUCCACAGCCUGGUGGGCUUCCAGACGCUGCUCUCCUACAUCCUGCCUUUCCCAAUCAUCAUCACUCUGAACGGGCUCACGCUACACCACAUCUCUGUAUGCAACCGCAUUUGGCCCGCCCAGGAGCCACCGGUCUCUCCGGCAACGGCCGCCAAACCUGGCCUCAGGGUGGCACCGAUUCUGCGCUCGCGGAGAAGGAAGUCGGUGGUCCUGCUGGUGACUGUGUCCAUGACGUUUCUGAUGCUGUCGGUGGUGCGGGCCGUGACCCAAAUCAUCCUGCGCACGUCUAGCCCCGAGCUAAAGCGCCAGGACUACGGUCUCCCACUCAACGUGGCGGCCGACCUGGGCACCAUGCUGUGCCUGAGCAACGCGGCGGUCAACAUGUACCUGUAUGCUGCCACGCAGACCAAGUUCAGACAGGAAGUCAUCGCCUGUGCCAAACAGGGCCUCGCAGUGAUGAAGAGCAGCCUGACCCCAUCCACCAUUGUAACUGCCAGGCCUCAGUGACUCACAGCGAGCUUUCCAGGCAUCUAUCAUUAAAGAAUGAAAUCUCUACAGAGCUAGAAGAUGGAAGCUUGAGUGAACCAGAGUCAUAUUAAUUAUUCAUCGAUAUGAAUUGCAGGUUUGCUUUUCCCCUGCCUGACCACGGCCAGCGACUGCAUCAUCUCACAGUAAUUCAUUCACAGCUUGCAGCGGCAGAGAGGGCAGAAUGUAAUCUUUUUUCUGCCACUCUGAAAGACCUGAUUCUGUGAGCUCUCCCUCCAUGUAAGCCCUGUCUUAAUGGGCUCCCUCUGCUUGGGACUGGGGCUGUUUUAUCCCCCACAGAGACCAGGAGAGGAACCAGACACAGUCAUUUAAGUCCAUUUGCAGUGGAAACACCCCAGUGGACUUCUCCUGGCCCCUUCAAACGUUACAGGCUUUUUAACAAGCCUUCUCCACUGAGAGCUGAAAAGGCAAGGACAUGGUGUACAGGCACAAAAUGCAUUAAGACUCUGCCCAGAAUCUUCACUUCUCAAAAGACAUCCAUCGAAUGUACAGACUGUGAGACAGUAGAUGUGGGAGCCAGGGACAAGAAGAGGGAAGUAGACAUAAAAUAGUAUAAUAGAGCUUGUAUCAUUUUUCAUUCACGUUUCUCUGUGUUUGUGUGUGUUUGCAGUAGUCGGUGAAGGGUAACAUUUUCCUAUAAAUACACAGGGAUUCAUAUUCAAACAAGGAAGUAAAAACUUGUUUACGCUGUGGUUCCAGUUGUAGAUAGUCAUCAGUGCAUCAUCCCUUUAUCAGUAGGUCAACAAGUGGCUCUCUGAUAAGCACAUGGACUUGUGUGUCUUCUUAUCAGAUCUUUGCCAUUCUAAUUUGCUUGACUCUAUAAAGCUGCUUUAAUUUUCUGUGUUUGUGUACCCAAAUCAUUUGACCAGGGCUAUAAAACCUGAGUGACUGUAUGGUUACUUCAGAAUGCCACAUAAAACAGAGUUAGAUAUUAAAAUUCAUGUCCCACUAAAUGUGGCGGUGCAAUGAGGAGACGAGCAGACGUAAAUGUCCAAGUUAACCCUUGUAGUCUUAACAUUCUAUAUACUCCCCCUGUACUAAGCGUACAAAAUGGCCUGCCUUCAUUAAACCCCUAAAAUAAAGCAGCUUAAUUGAAUUUUAACCCCCAAAUCUAUUUUCCAUGAAGAAACGGUAAGUAGUUUUGAAUGCAUUGUAUUGAAGGGAAACAAUAACAGUUGUGAACUUCAACUUGAAUAAGAAUAUCAUAUAUCAUAGAUAUAAAACAAAAGUGUGAAGAACAGAAAUGAAUCAAGUGUAAUUAGCACACGGAGGACAGUAUGGAAGCGUGUGUUCAUGGACAUGCAGGUGUAUUUCUCACAUGUGCAGCAUGAUGCCUCUUCCUCUUCUAAAUCACUGUGCUCUUUUUCCUCCUGGGCGUCUGAACACAUCAGAUCCACGACCUGCUGGGCAAUCUUUGUACCAUGGUAGUGUACAGCUUUUUUUCACAUUUUCUAAUGUUGGGGUCAUCAAAUUUCAAGUUGAAAAAAUAUCAUUUAUGGAGGUUUUCUCUGCUGUUAAACAACAGUCUAAAGCCUGCACACUCACAGUAAGACCCAUUUAUCUACAGAGAGCCCGUUGGACAUCAUUACUGUCACUGGAAGUCUUGAUUGUUGAUUGCUGACAACCAACAAUCAGUAAGCCUGUGGAUGGGCAUUUUUUACAACUUGUUUUCUGAGACUUAACUUUGAUUUCCACUGAUAAGCCUGUAGUUAGAGCACAGACCUCUAAGGCAAAGGUGAGUGAAAGGUCCUCUGAGGACAACACUUAGGUUUGAUUGCUGUGCUACAUGUGGGCUGGACUCCAAAAAGCUGGCUGAAACCUGCAAAAACUCAAUUUCGGCUAAGAAUCUGACGGAGAUGCUUAGGCUUACACUCUUCUAGACAAAGACCACGAGGCGAAUCAAAGGUUUCUGGAGGUGUAUUUCAAGGUGCUCCUGCAGGGAGUCAAUACCAACAUCAAGUAGAGGCAGGCAAAGACUAAAGAGCCUCACAGUGUUACAGUAUAUAUACAAGUCAAUAAUG
ensembl:lncRNA